AGUCUUUCAAGAAGGGAGAGAAACCAGAGAGUGUCUAUCUUUGCCAGCAAAGAAACAUCUCUCUGAUUAGAAAUGUGUCUCGUGAGGAUUAGACAUGCUGCCAUCUGCAAUAUAGACAUUUCUAUCAGCAGAUAUGACCAGGAAAACCUACUGUUUAAAUUCAAGCCUGGAGCUGGAAGAUCCCACCAUCCAACCUCACCCUUUCACCCAGCCAUGUUCCUACUGGCCACUGCAUUCCCAGCAAAUU